rnacentral:tRNA from 5 species
GCCCUCGUAGUUUAAUGGAUAAAACGACGGGCUUCGGACUCGUAGAUAGAGGUUCGAUUCCUCUCGAGGGCACCA